AGCAUAGCUCUUUUGCUCAGCUUGUGUCAAUAUGCACAAGUGUGUGCUGAACUCAUGGUUAAACCAUGGGCUCGUGAGAGUUCGUUUGUAGAAGAGAGAGAAUGAAGUGAGGUGAAGGUAAUGGACCCACCCUUAGACACGGGUUCAUGUGUUUAAGCACAUGAGAGAGAGACAAGAAGAAAAUAGAAUGAGAAAGUGAUGGACCCACCUUAGACACGGAUCAGUGCAAUGGAUAACGCGCGAGAGAGAUGAGGAGAAUAGGUGACAGACCCGCCCUAGGCACGGGUCAGUGUGUUUAUGCGAAGUGAGGGAGAGAGAAGGAUAUGAGGGUAGGGAUGUAUAGAUGAGUCCGCCUUAGGCGCAGACCUGACUGGUCUUUGACGUGAGGGGGUAAAGAAGAGGGAUAAGAGAUGGAAAAAGAGAUGGGUCAUCCCUAGGCACGGACCCGAGGAUUUUUUUUGUCGUGUGAGAGAGAAGAAGAGUGAUAAGAGAGGGAAGGAGAGACAAGUCCGCCCUAGGUGCGGACCCGAAUUCUUUCAUGCGAGAGAAAAGGGGGCAGUCCGCCCAAGCUUGGUUUAAAAGCAUUUAAAGCAUCUUCUGUGGCAUCUUCACGCACCCCUUGUAUCUCAAGUGCAAUUUGGCAUUUUCAGCAUGGACACCGCAUAGUCACAUCCCCCAUAGAAUGACCACUCGGAGUUCUAGUAGGGCUUUAACCGUUUGGAAUAAGAAGAAUCAGACCCCAGAGAUUGCAAUUAUCAUUCCUGAUGACUCUGAAGAGGUGAUUCCUCUAGCAAUUCAUAGAGGUGUAGAGAGAAUCAUUGCCCCUACAAUGCAAGGGGAACCAAGAGAAGGUCCAAAUCCUGUCAUUGCUUCUAACUCUAGGCAAGUUAUCCAUCCCUUUGACUGGCAUACCCAUAGAGGACUUGUUAUGGCAUAUGUAAGAUUGCCUUUUCCUGAUCAAGUCAAGAGACUUAAUCGUCAUAAUUCUGAUAUCUGCACGAUGGAGAUAGGUCGUGAUCUUCUCAGAGCUACCUAUCAACUUUUUAGUCAUGCCCUUUUCUUUGAGUUGGCCAUGUUCCCAUUCUUUGUGAAGAAGUUAAUGAAGAACCUUACAGACUUCAAUGUUCCGUGCACUGGUUUAUUUGGAAAAAAGAUGGAAACAAUAGUUCACUGGGCCAGAGAGGUCUUGGAAAUAGAAGACCUGGUCUCUACUAAGAAGAACCCAUCUAUUGCACUCUUACUCAAAACUCCUUUCCUGACCCUUAUUUAUGUUGGAUCUUUCCGAGGCGAUUCUAAGAGAUCUUAGAACCGAUCUGCUCUUGCGAUAGUUUGUUCAUUCGGAUUUUCAGCCCUGUCCUUUAAAAAGGUCUUCGAUCUCCUAAGAUAUUGCAUGUCUUGAAAAUGAGAGUGAUAUGGCCACUCUCGAACAUCAUAUCCAAGAGACAGAAGGCUUGCUGGUCUUGGCUCGUAGGAAAUGGAGGAUCCACAGUCAUCUCAGCUUGAUCAUGGGGAGUAUCCUCCUUGGUUAGAAAAAUCAGCCAUAGCAGGCGAGCAAUUUUAAAACACAAGAUAAAGAAGGUGCAGCAAGACUACUUCAGACUUAGUCUCUUGAAGGAAUGAUUCCUCAACCUUCUCUUCUUCAAGGCAGACAACCAUAGCUUCAUCCAUAUUGUAGACAUAAUUUUCUUUCUUUUUUAACUUUUGUAAGGCGCAAUGUUACAGCCAUGCAAUCCUAUUUGUUUAUUUCCUUUUACGCUUGUAUAUAGAGGCCACAAAACUGCAACUCGUGGUCUCCUUUUUGCUAACAACUUAUGUCUUUCA